rnacentral:tRNA from 1 species
GGUGGGAUAUCCAAGUGGCUAAAGGAAGCAGACUGUAAAUCUGUCGAGGUUUCUCUUCGAGCGUUCGAAUCGCUCUCCCACCACCA